AAGACAACUUAUGGAGACCCGUGAUUUAUGCAAGGAAAACCAGCGUAAUAUAUACGACGCCAUCCUGCAGUGCAACCAUUACCUGAACUAUAAUUUCAGACUUUCAGCUGUUUACUAUUACAAGACUGACAAACAAAAAUAUAUAAAACUGUAGUUUGAAAGAAACUGAGUUAUCAGUACAUUAUAUACGAAUAUUCAUAAUGAUCACAAAGCAUGUAGACUAUA
rnacentral:lncRNA from 1 species